UUGAUUUGGACCUUGCCAUAUUUGUACUGAAUAGAAUCUGAAAUAUCUUUGAGCUUUUUUGGGAUUAUCACCAACCAAAAUAUCAUAUUGAGUCCCUUUUGAUCCAAUUGAAAAGCGAAACCCUUGCUAAUACCAUCAGCAGGUCUGAUUAAGAGAGCCCAUUAUCGAUAUUCAAUACCAUGAAAAAGACGAAGAGAGAAAUGUUUUGCAAUGAUUCUAUUCAGUGCUUUAAUAGCAUCGAAUUGCUUGGAGAGAAACAAGAGAGAGAGAGAGA
rnacentral:misc_RNA from 1 species